GGCCACAUAGCGGUCAUAGGCCAUCACCAGCAGAAGAAAGACCUCUGAUCCACCAAAAAAGUGCUCUGUAAAGAGCUGAGCCAUACAAGAUUGGAAGGAUAUGGUAUUUUCCCCAAAGAACAAGUUUGAAAUCAGUUUGGGGGAUAUAGAUGAGGAAUAAAUGACAUCUAUAAAUGACAAGCUACCAAGAAAAAAGUACAUUGGUGAGCCCAGGCUCUUACUGAAAGUUACAGUCACAACAAUGAGCAUGUUGCCUAUCAUGGUCAAAAUAUAGAAGAGCAAGAACAUAAAAAAAAGAACUGUCUGCUCCUUUGUAUUCUGCGUGAGACCCAAGAGGACAAAAGUCAAUGAAGAAAAAUCACAAAGAAGGACCUUUAAGUAAAUGACAGCAACAGAGCCAUGUACUAACAAGAUGAAGAUUUGUAUGGAAGACACCGCUCCCAACCUUGGUGGGUUAGAAGGAGGACUUAAAUCAGGAAUAAA
rnacentral:lncRNA from 1 species